rnacentral:rRNA from 1 species
GAUGAACGCUGGCGGCGUGCCUAAUACAUGCAAGUCGAGCGAACAGACGAGGAGCUUGCUCCUCUGACGUUAGCGGCGGACGGGUGAGUAACACGUGGAUAACCUACCUAUAAGACUGGGAUAACUUCGGGAAACCGGAGCUAAUACCGGAUAAUAUAUUGAACCGCAUGGUUCAAUAGUGAAAGACGGUUUUGCUGUCACUUAUAGAUGGAUCCGCGCCGCAUUAGCUAGUUGGUAAGGUAACGGCUUACCAAGGCAACGAUGCGUAGCCGACCUGAGAGGGUGAUCGGCCCCCCCUGAACCGAGACCCGGUCCAGACUCCUUAGGGAGGCAGCCGUAGGGAAUCUUUCGCAAUUGGCGGAAGCCCGACGGAGGCACGGCGCGUGAGUUAUGAAGGUCCUCGGAUCCUAAAACUUUGUUAUUAGGGAAGAACCAAUUGGUAAGUAACUAUGCACGUCUUGACGGUACCUAAUCAGAAAGCCACGGCUAACUACGUG